ensembl:lncRNA
AUAGUAGCCUAGGAAACACAAAUUGCUUUCCAUUUGCUGCUUCUCUGAUGCUCUUCAUCUUCCUAGCCACUGAGAAAACAGCAGAAAAAAAUCAAGUCUAAUUAACCUCUGUUCUCAACCUGACUCCUUGAUAUGUUCUCGUUUGUUUAAAUCUACGUCCUUUGUUUUCCUGUGCUCUCAUGCUUCAUCUUUAUUGGAGAGCAUAUGUAAAUUUCUAAUGACCCACAUUCAGACAGAUAUUUGAGGAUGAAUUCAUCUGCCAGUGCUGAGAAAUUGUACUUUGUGUGACAACAGUUGGUUUUUUUUUGCUUGUCCAACACAAAUUUAAAACAAACAAACAAACAAACAAACAAACAAACAAAAGAUCCGCUUGUUGUGGUUGAAGUGCUGGAGUACCAGGGCCCAAGGCUCUGCCACUUGCAGUAUUGUUUCCAAGACUGUAACGUCACAUUAUGUGUGCUGAUAAGCUUGCAGCCCUGCCUUUUGAAAUGACUUUUUUAAAGCCCCUGCAAGCAGACAGCAACGGGAUUGCUACUUUCAAAACAAGACUAGCCCCCAACAUAAAACACCACUCCCAAAGACACCAUGCAAAGUUUCACAAGGCUCAGCUUCACUGGAGUGCUCCCGUCUGUCUCCUGAACAACUUUUCUGUUUUGGAGGUUAUUCUCCACAGAGAAGAUAUUAGCAUAACAUUAGUUAAUGAAUUGGUAAGAGAAUUUAAAUUCAUGCAUUACGUGUCUAGAUCAUCAAAGUGUCCCCAUGCCAUUGUAAUAAAAAAGCUCUGUUGAACUGCAAGCUGGAGCGGGACAUCUGCUGUCCUUUGUAAGGAAACCUGGGUGCAGGACAAGGGGACAAGGGAGGUUUCCUGCAGGGCUGCACCUUGCAAACAGCACAGAGGGAAGCUUGUCGCUACCAUACUGCAAGGGCACAGAGUCGCUUGAUGUGGAUCACUGGGGCAGCACCGACAUACUUAAGAGGAGUCCAAGGCCAUGCUCAGUUCUCAUAAGAGAUAUUAUUUACUGAGGGUUUCAACCGCAAACCAAACAUCUUACAAAAUGUUAUAGUGCAGCAAAUGACAUUUCCAAGUGUAUUUAUUGAGAAAUAGUAAAGAUGUACAUAAUUUUACAAGCUUUUAAUUUUAAUUUACAUUUUCUUAAAUUAUGUAGGCCCCAAUAAACUAUAAUCUGCUAAUACAUAACAGACACCCUUGGCUUCAAUUUUAUCUCAAAAAUGCUGCUAUUGCUGGGAUUUGGCUCAUGUCACUUCAGCUCCUCUUCAAAGAUACUAAAUACCACAUUCAUUUCAAGCAUAUGCUUGGUAUCACUCCUGUAAAGUAGAGAUGACUUUUGAACCAAAACCCCGGAUCUGGACACAAACUCACAGCUAAAAUUCAGGUUUCCUACUGUGGGCCAAGUCCACGUUCACCACAAACUCUGCAGUUCAGUUGGCUGCAGGAUUUCAUCUGCUCUGAGAUGAAGUGCGCCUGUAUACAGGAUUUUGAUUUGGCUUCAUCUCUCUAGUCAGUGCUUACACUGGAACACUCUCUGCAUCUACUGUGGAUGCAAACACUGCUUCUCACACUGGCUUUUAAUGAAAUCAUUAAUUGGGAGCUAGCUGCCACCUAUAUCUUUGUGUGCUAUCUCCAUAGGCAUCUAAAAACAAUUAUCAUUUUUAGCUUUUGCUUCCUUUUUUCACUGAUAGGCUGAGCUGCAUGGAGUUAUAUCUAUUUAAGUUACUAAUUGGUGACUGCAAUCACACUAUGUCUGUAUUCUGCAAGCUGAGUAUUCAAAUGCCUAAUGAACUUUCAAGUUCUGUACUGACUGAAAACUGCUUAGAGUAUCAGCAAAAUGCAUUAUAUUCUACAAUUCAUUUGCACAAAUUACUUGCAAAUGUGACAUUAUGCUCAAUCUUGAUUGUUCAGGAGAGGCUGAAGGGAAGGCAGUUUCUGAUUAAUACGCUAUUGAAUUAAAAUGCACUCAAUGUCAAAAUGACCAACCUUCAGCUUAAUCCCAUCUGGAACGGUCUGUCUUCACUACAUCUCUGCCUUGGUCAUUUUCUCCUCUCUAUUAUUCAUGCAGGAAAAAUUAUCAGUCAUUUCUUUCAACAAUACAGGCAUGUACAACACAAUCUUGUUCACAGAUAUAUAAUAAUUUUUGCUUAGCAAGACAGUAUUUGUGCUCUGCAAUUUUACUUUAGAGAUUUAGAUUUGUGAAGGUUUUUGAGAUAAAUCUUCGGGGUUUUGUGUGUGUGUGCAUUUUUUUGGAUUAUUUUUAUAAUUAACUUUCGCUGACUUAGGACACAGAAUUCAAGUUAAAAUCAGAACUUUAUUGUGUUCUGCAAAACUUCCCUCUUUUUGCCUCCACCUCCUCUCUGGAUAUCCAGUAUAUUAAUUGAGUCAGACUUGCCAGAGAGUUAAGAACAACUCCACCGCAAACCUUUUUAAGAACUGAUGGUUGUUGCUGGGCUAUUGUUUAUUCUAACAUCUGAUUUGGUAAAGAACUCUGAAAAGCUAAAGAAGAGAGAGAAAUAAAAUUGCUUCAUGCAUUUAAAUAAUGCUAUCACUUAUUUAAAAAAAAAAAAAAAGAAAAAUAA